UACGUAGGGUGCGAGCGUUGUCCGGAAUUAUUGGGCGUAAAGGGCUCGUAGGCGGUUUGUCACGUCGGGAGUGAAAACUCGGGGCUUAACCCCGAGCCUGCUUCCGAUACGGGCUGACUAGAGGUAUGCAGGGGAGAACGGAAUUCCUGGUGUAGCGGUGAAAUGCGCAGAUAUCAGGAGGAACACCGGUGGCGAAGGCGGCAUCCUGGACCGACACUGACGCUGAGGAGCGAAAGCCAGGGGAGCGAACGGG
rnacentral:rRNA from 1 species